rnacentral:misc_RNA from 1 species
UCUAAAGACAUACCCGGCGCUGUGGGGCAACCCACACCGCCCACCAAAACCCUGUCUGCCACCCCUUUGCCGUUAAGGCGGGGCUGUAGCUCAGCUGGUUAGAGCGCACGCCUGAUAAGCGUGAGGUCGAUGGUUCGAGUCCAUCCAGCCCCACUCGACGGGGAUAUAGCUCAGUUGGGAGAGCGCCUGCUUUGCAAGCAGGAUGUCGUGGGUUCGAGUCCCUCUAUCUCCAUUUCUAGUUCGCCCUUUACAAGGUCUCCUUAGCGGAGUACACUGGCGGGGUUAACUAGAACGUUAGCACCGAGUUAGGAGAGCGUGCACUGAACGCACUGAAACGAGACACAGGAUAUAACGGCAAGGAGCGGCCCGCCUAAACCGCGUGUCCACCUCCCGCCUACCCCUGUGACUCGGCUCGAAAAAUCUCGAUCCGAGUUUUUUGAUCCUAACGCACCUUAACAAUUGCAUACAACAAGAGCACGCGGAAAAUUUGUAAGUAAACGUAACGCCUGUCGCGCAUCAUCCCAAACAGGAUCUCGGUGGAGCAUCGCGCUCUCCAGACCCAGGGUGUUGCACGAACUUAAAAGCUACAAAGGGCGUACGGUGGAUGCCUUGGUAUCCUGUGCCGACGAAGGACGUGGUACACUGCGAUAAGCUCCGGUCAGGUGUGUGCAACCGCGAUCAGCCGGAGAUGUCCGAAUGGGGAAACCCGG